rnacentral:lncRNA from 1 species
ACCAAUCUGAAAGAUCUUUUUUUAAAGUUUUAUGCAAAACAAUGCCGUUCUAACUUUUUAAAAAAAAAUUGGUAAAACAGACAGCCCUAGUUCAAUUAAGCCGGAUCAUAGGUAGGGUUAAGUUCAAUGACUCUCCUCUCUCUUGCAGUAAAAUUUGUAAAUGGGAAAAAUAUAUGUAUUUAAUAUAAGCGUACGUAGUACUGUAUAAAACAUGUCAUGAUGAAGAGUGCUGUGAUGAUGUUCUUACUCAAAGAUUAGCAUAGUGAAGUCAAAACAAAACAUAAUCAAAGUCAAUAAAGGAAUCUUGAGGGUGAGAAUAUCCAUACCGACCUACCGAUCUAUAGAAAGCCUAAAAUAAUGGGGACUUUAUGCAGAAUCCUCCAUAGACAUCCACCUUUUCAACUCCACUAAACCAGAUCGUGAGGCCAGUUUUAAUCAUAUUGCUCUUUUAGGAAUAUGGGAAAGCUGAGCAGACCGAUGAACAUACUUUUUUCAUUUUUUUUGGGCACUUCUAAACUCUAAAUCUUAAUUAGUUAAUGCCUGGCUUCUUAAGGGAAACCAAGUAUUCCAAUGCCAUGGUCAGGAGUGAUUCUUAUCUUUUUUAUUUCUAUCAGUUUUUUUUUUAAUCCUCGAACACUAAUAAGAGGCGACUACAAAUCUUAUUACAAGGACAGUCUCCACAUGGACACACAAGAAGUAAAGAAAGAGUGCUUUGCUAGGGAGACCAGGGCAUGUGUUGUUGAGUAACGGUGGCUUUGUGCUGGCAUUGCAUGCGGAUUUCAAGAUAAGUCCUUGUUAAUUUUGGUACAUUAUGCAUGUGUGAGAGAGAGAGAGGUACAAACAGUUCACUAAGCAUACAAAAUCCUGCCGAGCCUCUUCCUCAGUCUCCUCGUUACUCGUAAGUUGUUGUCACUUGGCCUCCGAGAAAUCAAACGCCAGACCCUGCAGGCCACGCAGUGGCUAGGCCUUCUACAGCAAAUCCACAAUCAAUAUUUUCUUUUUUUCUGAUGGAAACCUAUUUAGAUUUUUGGAUUUUUGUUCAGAAAGACAAUGUUACAUAUGAUAUGGGAAUUAUGGAUGUGUUUGGUAUACAAUUGCUUUUUGCAAAAAC